rnacentral:rRNA from 1 species
UAUGCUCGUCUAAAGCUUAAGCCAUGCAAGUCUCAGUACGAGCUGACUUAAAGUGAAACCGCAAAAGGCUCAGUAAACCGGUCAUAGUUUACCGGAUAUAUGCCACUCACGUGGAUAACUGUGGUAAUUCUAGAGCUAAUACAUGAAAAAAAGUCCCGACCAGAGAUGGAGAGGACGCUUUUAUUGGAACAAAACCAUUCGCCCGGCUCGCCCGGGCGUUUUCCUGAUGAUUCUAUAUAACAACACAGAUCGCACGGUCAUUGUACCGGUGACAUAUCCUUCAAAUGUCUGACUUAUCAGCUGUCGAUGGUAGACUCUUUGUCUACCAUGGCGCUCACGGGUGACGGGGAAUCAGGGUUCGAUUCCGGAGAGGGAGCCUGAGAAACGGCUACCACAUCCAAGGAAGGCAGCAGGCACGCAAAUUACCCACUCCCGGCACGGGGAGGUAGUGACAAAAAAUAACGAUACGGGACUCAUCCGAGGCCCCGUAAUCGGAAUGAGAACACCCUAAAUCCUUUAACGAGGAUCUAUUGGAGGGCAAGUCUGGUGCCAGCAGCCGCGGUAAUUCCAGCUCCAAUAGCGUAUAUUAAAGUUGUUGCGGUUAAAAAGCUCGUAGUUGGUUCUGCGUGCCACGCUGUCGGUUCACCGCCUGCCGGUGCAACUGGCAUGCCGUGGCAUGUCCUGUCGGUGGCGGAUAGGCUUCGCGGAGUGCCCCAUGCGGCUUCGGUCAUGUGGGUUGUCGCUCCGCGUUGUCCUUGUACGCCGGCUCAAUCCUACCGCGGUGCUCUUUACCGAGUGUCGAGGUAGGCCGACAAUGUUUACUUUGAACAAAUUAGAGUGCUUAAAGCAGGCUCUUGAAUCAGCCUGAAUAGUGGUGCAUGGAAUAAUGGAACAGGACCUUGGUUCUAUUUUGUUGGUUUUCGGAAUCCAAGGUAAUGAUCAAUAAGGACAGGCGGGGGCAUUCGUAUUGCGACGUUAGACUUGGCAAAUGCUUUCGCGGUGAAAUUCUUGGAUCGUCGCAAGACGCACUAGAGCGAAAGCAUUUGCCAAGUAUGUCUUAAUUGAUCAAGAACGAAAGUUAGAGGUUCGAAGGCGAUCAGAUACCGCCCUAGUUCUAACCAUAAACGAUGCCAGCCAGCGAUCCGCCGAUGUUCCUCCGAUGACUCGGCGGGGAGCUUUCCCCGGGAAACCAAAGCUUUUGGGUUCCGGGGGAAGUAUGGUUGCAAAGCUGAAACUUAAAGGAAUUGACGGAAGGGCACCACCAGGAGUGGGGCCUGCGGCUUAAUUUGACUCAACACGGGAAACCUCACCAGGCCCGGACAUUGGAAGGAUUGACAGAUCGAUAGCUCUUUCUCGAUUCAGUGGGUAGUGGUGCAUGGCCGUUCCUUAGUUGGUGGAC